CUUGCGGUCACAUCAAGUUGAAACACCGGUUACACGUACGAUCACGGCAGUUAAGCAACGUCGAGCCUGUUCAGUACGUAGAUGGGUGACAGCUGGAGAAUAUCAGUUGCCGUAA